AUAACCGAGGAACGUUGCGAGGUUACGUUAGUUUUGAAAUAUCAAAAUGAUGUAAACCCUAGGCUCGGUUAGCAAUACUGGUGAAAUUAUCAUCAUUAUUGUAAACGGCGUUCACCUAAC
rnacentral:ncRNA from 2 species